GAUGAACGCUGGCGGCGUGCCUAAUACAUGCAAGUCGAACGCACAGCGAAAGGUGCUCGCACCUUUCAAGUGAGUGGCGAACGGGUGAGUAACACGUGGACAACCUGCCUCAAGGCUGGGGAUAACAUUUGGAAACAGAUGCUAAUACCGAAUAAAACUCAGUGUCGCAUGACACAAAGUUAAAAGGCGCUUUGGCGUCACCUAGAGAUGGAUCCGCGGUGCAUUAGUUAGGUGGUGGGGUAAAGGCCUACCAAGACAAUGAUGCAUAGCCGAGUUGAGAGACUGAGCGGCCACAUCGGGAGUGAGACACGGCCCAAACUCCUACGGGAGGCUGCAGUAGGGAAUCUUCCACAAUGGGCGAAAGCCUGAUGGAGCAACGCCGCGUGUGUGAUGAAGGCUUUCGGGUCGUAAAGCACUGUUGUAUGGGUAGAACAGCUAGAAUAGGGAAUGAUUUUAGUUUGACGGUACCAUACCAGAAAGGGACGGCUAAAUACGUGCCAGCCGCCGCGGUAA
rnacentral:rRNA from 1 species